GGCAUUUUGCUCACAGAUGCUACUUUGUUAAUAAAAUAACCAAGAAAUUUCUCACAUGUACUGAUUGACACAUCUGUCGGAGCAGAGGAGCAUGGAUUUGUGACUUAGUUAAUAGUAUUAAAUAACACUCUUGGUUCAUGGCAACUGCUAGCUAUGACAGAAGAGAGAUGCUGUAUCUUUGCCACCUUCACAGCAUUCUGGUAUGUGGCUAGACUGUUCCUUAAUAUACCCAGUGACACGUGUAAAUUGUCUUUCUUCCAUCUUCGUUCAGCUUGUCUGCAGUGUUGCCUAAGGCCUCUUGUGGUGUCAUUUAGCCAGGGGUCCGCCUUAGGUUCAACAGCUUUAAUCCGAUAAGGGGCAAUAGAGUCUAAGAUGCCUGUGCAUGUGGAAUGGAACACAGAGAGAAUGUUAUCUGGGGAGGAGGGAGAGACCAGACCAUUCUUUACAUAAAACUGUGUGACCACAAACACAGAGGCAAACUG